UGGACAGCAAGAGGCUGGAGGUCAAACCCUCAGAGGUCAGCUAGAGGGACAGAGGAGUCGCAUGUGACGUAUUUAAGCGCUCCACGCGCGCUGCCAGCGUGCUGAUGGAUGUGUUUCCCAGCUCAGCAGGUGGGUUGCGACCACCAGGAGCCUGGAGCCGUCGCGGCCUGAAACCUCCCUCCGUCUGCCGCCUCUCACGCAGCUUGGCUGCGACGAGCGCCAGCCCCAGCAUCGCCGCUAUCGCCAAGCAGACCAGACACGGUGCCAGCACUGCAGCCACCCGCGAGCUGUGUGGAGCACGCGCCGUCUAAAAUGAUCCACACCUUCACAAGACUGCAGGGCAAACCCAGAACUCGCUGAAGGGAUCAUUUUUACCUUUUGCAUGCGGGAUGCUGGACCCGAUCUCGAAUGGUCAGGAUGAAAGGAGCGACUCCA